rnacentral:rRNA from 1 species
UACGUAGGGUGCAAGCGUUGUCCGGAAUUAUUGGGCGUAAAGAGCUCGUAGGCGGUUUUGUUGCGUCGGCUGUGAAAUCCCCGAGGCUCAACCUCGGGGUCUGCAGUCGAUACGAGCAAACUAGAGUGUUGCAGGGGAGACUGGAAUUCCCGGUGUAGUGGUGAAAUGCGUAGAGAUCGGGAGGAACACCUGUGGCGAAGGCGGCCGACUGGGCCGACCCUGACGCUGAGGCGCGAAGGCGUGGGGAGCGAACGGGG